ACCUACGGGGGGCAGCAGUAGGGAAUUUUCGUCAAUGGGCGCAAGCCUGAACGAGCAACGCCGCGUGAGGGAAGACGGUCUUCGGAUUGUAAACCUCUGUCUUUGGGGAAGAAAAUGACGGUACCCAAAGAGGAAGCUCCGGCUAACUACGUGCCAGCAGCCGCGGUAAUACGUAGGGAGCGAGCGUUGUCCGGAAUUACUGGGUGUAAAGGGAGCGUAGGCGGGCGAGAAAGUUGAAUGUUAAGUCUACCGGCUUAACUGGUAGCUGCGUUCAAAACUUCUUGUCUUGAGUGAAGUAGAGGCAG
rnacentral:rRNA from 1 species